rnacentral:rRNA from 1 species
AGUGAACGCUGGCGGUAGGCCUAACACAUGCAAGUCGAACGGCAGCACAGUAAGAGCUUGCUCUUCGGGUGGCGAGUGGCGGACGGGUGAGGAAUACAUCGGAAUCUACUUUUUCGUGGGGGAUAGCGUAGGGAAACUUACGCUAAUACCGCAUACGACCUACGGGUGAAAGCAGGGGAUCUUCGGACCUUGCGCGAUUGAAUGAGCCGAUGUCGGAUUAGCUAGUUGGCGGGGUAAAGGCCCACCAAGGCGACGAUCCGUAGCUGGUCUGAGAGGAUGAUCAGCCACACUGGAACUGAGACACGGUCCAGACUCCUACGGGAGGCAGCAGUGGGGAAUAUUGGACAAUGGGCGCAAGCCUGAUCCAGCCAUACCGCGUGGGUGAAGAAGGCCUUCGGGUUGUAAAGCCCUUUUGUUGGGAAAGAAAAGCAGCAGGUUAAUACCCCGCUGUUCUGACGGUACCCAAAGAAUAAGCACCGGCUAACUUCGUG